GAUGAAUGCUGGCGGCGUGCCUAAUACAUGCAAGUCGUGCGGCAGCGCGAGUAGUUUACUACUUGGCGGCGAGCGGCGGACGGCUGAGUAACGCGUGGGAACGUGCCCCAAAGUGAGGGAUAAGCCCGAGAAAUCGGGUCUAAUACCGCAUAUGGUCUUCGGAUUAAAGCUUCGGCGCUUUGGGAGCGGCCCGCGUACGAUUAGAUUGUUGGUGAGGUAAUGGCUCACCAAGUCGACGAUCGUUAGCUGGUCUGAGAGGAUGAUCAGCCAGACUGGAACUGAGACACGGUCCAGACUCCUACGGGAGGCAGCAGUAAGGAAUCUUCCACAAUGGGGGCAACCCUGAUGGAGCAACGCCGCGUGCAGGAUGAAGGCCCUCGGGUCGUAAACUGCUUUUAUGAGUGAAGAAUAUGACGGUAACUCAUGAAUAAGCACCGGCUAACUACGUGCCAGCAGCCGCGGUCAUACGUAGGGUGCAAGCAUUAUCCGGAGUGACUGGGCGUAAAGAGUUGCGUAGGCGGUUAGUAAAGCGAAUAGUGAAACCUGGUGGCUCAACCAUACAGACUAUUAUUCGAACUCACUAACUCGAGAGUGGUAGAGGUAACUGGAAUUUCUUGUGUAGGAGUGAAAUCCGUAGAUAUAAGAAGGAACACCAAUGGCGUAGGCAGGUUACUGGACCAUUUCUGACGCUAAGGCACGAAAGCGUGGGGAGCGAACGGGAUUAGAUACCCCGGUAGUCCACGCCGU
rnacentral:rRNA from 1 species